rnacentral:rRNA from 1 species
AUUGAACGCUGGCGGCAGGCCUAACACAUGCAAGUCGAGCGAGCGGCGGACGGGUGCGUAAUGUAUGGGGACUGCCCGAUAGCGGGGGAUAACUACUGGAAACGGUAGCUAAUCACGUAUACUAUCGGAUAACCCAUAUGGGAUUAGCUAGUGGGUGAGGUAAUGGCUAACCUAGGCGACGAUCCCUAGACGGUCUGAGAGGGUGAUCAGCCACACUGGGACUGAGACACGGCCCAGACUCCUACGGAGGCAGCAGUGGGGAAUAUUGCGCAAUGGGCGCAAGCCUGAUGGAGCCAUGCCGCGUGAAUGAAGAAGGCCCUAGGGUUGUAAAGUACUUUCAGUCGGGAGGCGUUACCGACAGAGGAAGCACCGGCUAACUCCGUGCCAGCAGCCGCGGUAAUAC